rnacentral:rRNA from 1 species
GAUGAACGCUGGCGGCGUGCCUAAUACAUGCAAGUCGAGCGAACAGACGAGGAGCUUGCUCCUUUGACGUUAGCGGCGGACGGGUGAGUAACACGUGGGUAACCUACCUAUAAGACUGGGAUAACUUCGGGAAACCGGAGCUAAUACCGGAUAAUAUUUCGAACCGCAUGGUUCGAUAGUGAAAGAUGGCUCUGCUAUCACUUAUAGAUGGACCUGCGCCGUAUUAGCUAGUUGGUAAGGUAACGGCUUACCAAGGCAACGAUACGUAGCCGACCUGAGAGGGUGAUCGGCCACACUGGAACUGGGACACGGUCCAGACUCCUACGGGAGGCAGCAGUAGGGAAUCUUCCGCAAUGGGCGAAAGCCUGACGGAGCAACGCCGCGUGAGUGAUGAAGGUCUUCGGAUCGUAAAACUCUGUUACUAGGGAAGAACAAACGUGUAAGUAACUGUGCACGUCUUGACGGUACCUAAUCAGAAAGCCACGGCUAACUACGUG